CAGCCCCGCCGGAGGGGGGGGAAGCCCUUGCCCACCAAACCCGGCGCCGGGGCGUUCGUUCUCUCGAGGUGGCGGCCGCGGCGGCGCCGCUGCUGCCGGCCGAGCUCACGUGGGCUGCUGUUGCUGCUGCUGCUGGCGGCGGCGGCGAGGGCGAGGAGGAGGAUGAUGAUGCAAUCCCCCCCUCUCCUCCCCCGCGGGAGCGCUUAGAACGCCGAGGGGCGGCGAGGCGCUCCCUUUGGCCGCGGAUGGGCGCGCGGCGGCAGCGGUAGCAGCAGCAGCAGCAGCCGCCGGAGCACAAGAAGCGGCCGCCGGAGCAGCAACUUUUCCCUUGCGGGCGAAGCCAAACCGGAGUUCCGCUCUCCGUCUCCCGCGCCCUCGGGGCGUCCCGUCCGGCGUCCCCAGCCCGAGCCGGCAUCUCGGCUAGCAACGGGGCCCGAAAGCGCCUGCCUCUAUGGGAGGUGUUGAAAAAGUCAAGAGUUUGGAUGUUUGAGUGGAAUAAAUAUGAAGAGUUUGAAAGCAAAGUUCAGGAAGAGCGAUAUAACGGGCAGUUAGACUCCGGACAGCUGCUGCCAAGAGACACAACUUGGAAUUCACAUCACAUUGAGUUUCCACCAUAUCACAGGAGGAUCCUAGGGGAUAUUCUGCAAAUAAAUGGCAACCUUUGGAUCUGCUCUGCUAAUAAGACCUCGUGAUGCUUUAUCCCCUUUAAUGGCACAGUUCUGUUUUGGUUUCU